CUGACUGGACUGGAUGUGGGCUUUUUUCCUUAAAACACACUCACCCGCGCGCACACACACACGCACACGCACAGUUUCCCCAUCCCUCUCGGCUUCCCUCUGUAGCUGUUCCCUCCGCGCUGGCCGCGUUCCCGCCAGAAAGUGCGAGGGGGGCCUCUGCCAGGACAGCCCUCGGGAGAGGAAGCGGGGGGAGGGCCCGCAGCCCGGCCAAAACUCCAGCCCCAGCCAAGGCCCGAGUGGCCAGGCCCCCGCCCCUCCGGCUGGGCCCGGGGCCCAGCGUGGGGACGCAGGCCAGCUGUCCUGUGCCUCUGCCCCCACCCCGGCCCUCCAGACUCCCCCGACACCCCCAGGUCUGGCCAGAGACUGUCCCUGCCCGAAGCUGGGGGUGUGGGGUGUUGGGCAGGUCUGGGGUCCAAGGCCUGGGGCCAAUGUCUGCAGAGGCUGAGGGGCUGUGAGCAGAACGGCCUGGAAGAUGGAGAAUGAUGGGGGAGACACAACCACAGCUCUGAGCAAGGGAGCUAAAGGACCCCCGCGCCCUCCAGCCUGGAGCUGUGUGGCCUUCUGGAGGACUAACAAGGCCACGUGUUGAACUCAGGCAGCGUCUGCUUCAGGAGUUUGGAAAAGGGUGGACACACAAGGAGAACAAACUUGAAGCUAUUUUGCACAGACCAGGAGAGAGGCUGGAGCCAGAAGGAGCGUUCUUGCUGCCGGGGGAUCCAGGAGAGGUCAGUGCCCUCGGUAUUCCUGCCCCCAGCCCCUCCGAGGGUCGUUGGUGGGAGCCUUCGUGGUUGGACUUGAAGCUUCAUCUCAUGCCCCUCGGGCCUGGCCAUCACUGAAGAUGGACCCAUUUCUGUCUCCCGGGUCAUCCAAGAAGACUGGAUGAUAGCACAGUGCCCUCCGGGAGAUGGGGGGCAGAGAUUGCUGAUGAGAACGGACCCCAGAGUCUGGCUGUGGUUUCUGUUUUCUCCCUGUCUACACAUGGUCCUUUUAUCUGUUGAUAACAGGAUGCUCUGUCUGUGUGGGACCUGGAACCAGAGAGAGAGAGACAUAAGCGUUUGCUCUAGGACUAGCCUGGGAAGAGCUUGGUGUCCAUGGGACCCGGGACCCAUGCUAUGCUCCCUCUCAGCAAGGGGUCCUCUGCUGUCAGUCAUCUCCUCCUCCAUGUAGCAGUCUUUUCAGCCAGUCCCCUAGGCAAUAAAGUCAAGGUUUUACUGUCAGGGAGAGCAUGAAUUUCUCAUAUCGACCCAAGUGAGAUUUGAGAAGGAACAGAAUGCUGGUUGGGAGCAUGGGUCCGAGUGUAGACACUUCUGGAGGGAAUUAGCAGCAAAGCCAAAUGAAGGACCCCUUCCCCCAACCCCAACCUGACCCAUCUUUGCUCAUCGGAGAGACCCAGCUGCAGACAUUAAAGACAGCACCUGCCCCUUCUCUGAUUUAAACUUUUCCAAUAGUUCCAUAAAAUCAAGAAAAUGUAAGUAAAAUUAAUUUUAAUAAUGCACUGUAUUUAACUCACUAUAUCUAAAAUAUUAUCAUUUGAAUGUGUAAUUGACAUAAAAUUAUUG